GGCUUAUCCUCAUAAAACCAGUUCAGCUACUUUUAACAUUUACCACUCACCGAUUUCUUGUAUGAAAGUGGAACAAAUUAAAUCAUUUCCCUCGUCGCGUGAAGGGUAAGACAAAAUAGAGUUCUGUGCUGCUAUCUACAUGUUACCGAGUGAACCGAACAUGCAUAUCCCUUCGCUCAGAUCUCUGGAAUACACUGCAUGUGGUACUGUGUAGCAGUUCGUAUUCGAAGCGCGCUGUUUGAAUCGACUUGGUAACAAAUGUGGAAGGUCAUUGUACCAGCUCAUAUAUUCGGAGUAAAUUGAGCCACAGAUCAGUUUCAGGUCCACAAAGCCAGAAAUUCAUUUAUGCAAUACAAUUUUCAAACAAAAUUUGGAUCUUCAUUCUAUCAGCAACUUCAGUGAGAAAAUGAGAACAAAUAGAAAGGAGGCCAAUGUGGUCUCCAGAGAGUCUAUGAGCAGUUUCCCACUAAUUACCAAAAUAUUUUUUUAUGUCACAGACAGUGAAACAGAAGAGACUCAAGAUACAAAAUAAUGAAUGGAAAUUGAUCAUAUAUUCAUCUCCAACUACAACAUAUUCUCAACAACUCAAGAUUCAUCAAAAGAAAAAUAGUACUGAAGUCCUACACCAAAACUACAAAAUACUAGAAGUAUAAGUGCUCCGGAGUGAAACACUACCAGAUGUGUUAUGCGUUAGUGAGCAAGAGCAAACUAAAGCAGUCUAAUGGCAGGAGACUAUGAUCUGGUUCCCUUUUUCACUCUUGAUUUUCAAUGUGCAAUAAUUAUUGUUUAAUGAUAUUUGAUACAAAACAGAAUGUACAUUAAAAGGAUUUUUGUUCACACCUCAUAAAUUGAGGUAAACAGUUGUUCAUGAA